GGCUUGGUGGUCUAGUGGUAAAGACGUCCGUGCCUGUUCCAGGAGGUGAGCUUGCUUGCGCUCCUGUCGAUCGGCGGUGGCGGAAGACGCAGGUUCGAGCCCUGUCAGAGGCA